GAAAGUAAGCAAGGGCAGACGGUGGAUGCCUUGGCUCUCGGAGGCGACGAAGGACGUGAUAAGCUGCGAAAAGCCCGGGGGAGGCGCAAAUAGCCGUUGAUCCCGGGAUAUCCGAAUGGGGCAACCCGGCAGGCUGAAGGCCUGCCAUCCCGUAAGGGAGGCGAACGUGGGGAACUGAAACAUCUAAGUACCCAUAGGAGGAGAAAAUAAACAAUGAUUCCGUAAGUAGUGGCGAGCGAACACGGAAGAGCCCAAACCCAUGUCGUCUAGGCGACACGGGGGUUGUAGGACCACGACGUGGCAAGAUAGAGUCAAGUGGAACGCCUUGGAAAAGGCGGUCAUAGAGGGUGAAAACCCCGUACACGACUGACGAUCGAAGCCUAGUGGCAUCCUGAGUAGCGCGGGGCACGAGAAAUCUUGCGUGAAACUGCGGGGCCCAUCCCGUAAGGCUAAAUACUCCCGAGAGACCGAUAGCGAACCAGUACCGUGAGGGAAAGGUGAAAAGAACCCCGAGCAGGGGAGUGAAAUAGACCCUGAACCCGUCUGCCUACAAGCGGUCGGAGCAUCGUCAAGAUGUGACGGCGUGCCUUUUGCAUAAUGAACCUACGAGUUACCUUCCCCGGCAAGGUUAAGUACCUAAGGUACGGAGCCGAAGCGAAAGCGAGUCUGAACAGGGCGCCAAGUCGGGGGGGGUAGACGCGAAACCGAGUGAUCUACCCUUGGCCAGGUUGAAGGUUGGGUAACACCAACUGGAGGACCGGAUGGGUAAGCGUUGAAAAGCUUUCCAAUGAGCUGAGGGUAGGGGUGAAAGGCUAAUCAAACUCGGAGAUAGCUCGUACUCCCCGAAAUGCAUUUAGGUGCAGCCUCUUUAUAGUAUAUCGUGAGGUAGAGCGACUGAUUGGAUGCGAGGGCUUCACCGCCUAUCAAGUCCAGAUAAACUCCGAAUGCGCGAUAUAUAUUUACAGGGAGUGAGGGCGCGGGUGCUAAGGUCCGUGUCCGAGAGGAGAAGAAUCCAGACCACCGGCUAAGGCCCCCAAAUGAUCGUUAAGUUGAACUAACGAGGUCGGAUCGCAGAGACAGCUAGGAUGUUGGCUUGGAAGCAGCCAUUCAUUUAAAGAGUGCGUAACAGCUCACUAGUCGAGCGAUCUGGCGUGGAUAAUAAUCGGGCAUAAACGAUCUGCCGAAGCCGCGGAUGUCGCAAGACAUGGUAGGGGAGCAUUCCAUGGGCGUCGAAGAUGAGGGAUGACCCUUGUUGGAGCGCAUGGAAAAGCAAAUGUAGGUAUGAGUAACGAUAAGGGGGGCGAGAAACCCCCCCGCCGAAAGACCAAGGUUUCCUGAUCAACGCUAAUCGGAUCAGGGUGAGUCGGGACCUAAGGCAAAGCCGAACGGCGACGCCGAUGGAAGAAUGGGUUAAUAUUCCCAUACUGCCUCAUGGAGUGACGUGGAGACGGAGAAGUGACAGUCCUGCCGGCUGACGGAAUAGCCGGUUGAAGGGUGUAGGUGUCGAUCGCGGUAGGCAAAUCCGCCGCGAGAGCCGAACCUGAGAGUAUACGGAGCGCUUGCGCAACGUAAUAUGGACGUAACCAUGCUCCCGAGAAAAUCCGCUAAACUUAUCCAUGCGGCACCCGUACCGUAAACGGACACACGUGGUCGGGUUGAGAAUACUGAGGCGCUCGAGUGACUCACGGUUAAGGAACUAGGCAAAUUGACCCUGUAACUUCGGGAUAAAGGGUCCUCGUCGUAAGGCGAGGCGCAGAGAAUAGGUCCAGGCAACUGUUUAACAAAAACACAUGGCUGUGCUAAAUGGAAACAUGACGUAUACAGCCUGACACCUGCCCGGUGCUGGAAGGUUAAGAGGAGAUGUCAUCGCAAGAGAAGCGUUGAAUUGAAGCCCCAGUAAACGGCGGCCGUAACUAUAACGGUCCUAAGGUAGCGAAAUUCCUUGUC
rnacentral:rRNA from 1 species